rnacentral:rRNA from 1 species
CUACGGGUUGCUGCAGUAGGGAAUCUUCGGCAAUGGACGGAAGUCUGACCGAGCAACGCCGCGUGAGUGAAGAAGGUUUUCGGAUCGUAAAGCUCUGUUGUAAGAGAAGAACGAGUGUGAGAGUGGAAAGUUCACACUGUGACGGUAUCUUACCAGAAAGGGACGGCUAACUACGUGCCAGCAGCCGCGGUAAUACGUAGGUCCCGAGCGUUGUCCGGAUUUAUUGGGCGUAAAGCGAGCGCAGGCGGUUAGAUAAGUCUGAAGUUAAAGGCUGUGGCUUAACCAUAGUACGCUUUGGAAACUGUUUAACUUGAGUGCAGAAGGGGAGAGUGGAAUUCCAUGUGUAGCGGUGAAAUGCGUAGAUAUAUGGAGGAACACCGGUGGCGAAAGCGGCUCUCUGGUCUGUAACUGACGCUGAGGCUCGAAAGCGUGGGGAGCAAACAGGAUUAGAUACCCUCGUAGUC